rnacentral:rRNA from 1 species
GUUUGAUCAUGGCUCAGAUUGAACGCUGGCGGCAGGCCUAACACAUGCAAGUCGAGCGGUAACAGGAAUUAGCUUGCUAAUUCGCUGACGAGCGGCGGACGGGUGAGUAAUGCCUGGGAAUAUGCCUUAGUGUGGGGGAUAACUAUUGGAAACGAUAGCUAAUACCGCAUAAUGUCUUCGGACCAAAGAGGGGGACCUUCGGGCCUCUCGCGCUAAGAUUAGCCCAGGUGAGAUUAGCUUGUUGGUGAGGUAAGAGCUCACCAAGGCGACGAUCUCUAGCUGGUCUGAGAGGAUGAUCAGCCACACUGGAACUGAGACACGGUCCAGACUCCUACGGGAGGCAGCAGUGGGGAAUAUUGCACAAUGGGCGCAAGCCUGAUGCAGCCAUGCCGCGUGUAUGAAGAAGGCCUUCGGGUUGUAAAGUACUUUCAGUGGGGAGGAAGGUGUUGUCGUUAAUAGCGGCAGCAUUUGACGUUACCCACAGAAGAAGCACCGGCUAACUCCGUGCCAGCAGCCGCGGUAAUACGGAGGGUGCGAGCGUUAAUCGGAAUUACUGGGCGUAAAGCGCAUGCAGGUGGUUCAUUAAGUCAGAUGUGAAAGCCCGGGGCUCAACCUCGGAACCGCAUUUGAAACUGGUGAACUAGAGUGCUGUAGAGGGGGGUAGAAUUUCA